rnacentral:rRNA from 1 species
AUACGUAGGGAGCGAGCGUUGUCCGGAAUUACUGGGUGUAAAGGGAGCGUAGGCGGGAGUGCGAGUCAGAUGUGAAAUACAUGGGCUCAACCCAUGGGCUGCAUUUGAAACUGCAUUUCUUGAGUGAAGAAGAGGUAAGCGGAAUUCCUGGUGUAGCGGUGAAAUGCGUAGAUAUCAGGAGGAACACCGGUGGCGAAGGCGGCUUACUGGGCUUUUGCUGACGCUGAGGCUCGAAAGCGUGGGGAGCAAACAGGAUUAGAUACCCUGGUAGUCCACGCUGUAAACGAUGAUUACUAGGUGUGGGGGGACUGACCCCUUACGUGCCGCAGUUAACACAAUAAGUAAUCCCCCUGGGGAGUACGGCCGCAAGGUUGAAACUCAAAUGAAUUGACGGGG